rnacentral:lncRNA from 1 species
UGCAGGGCAAAGCAGAGAUUUCUCGAAAUUAUGUCUGUCAGACUCGAAAGGACACAGCACGAGUUGAAUAGUGUGGGUCCGUCUGGCUGCUGGGUUCCCACCAAAUGCAGAGGGCUCUACAAGAACCAGAUACAUAUAUUUAUCAAGUCCACAUAAAUAUAAUAUACAACGCUAGCCACUUACCGGUUUGGGCACUGGAUCCAGCAGGAUGAAUUCAAACUUGUAGAGGAUGAGGGCCACAAAAUUCCAUAACGGCGUACCACCUGUUGACACAAUAAAUA